UGGUCCUAAAAAGACCAAAAAAAAAAAAAAAAAAAAAAAAAAAAAGACUGGAAUCAAAGAUGUUAUAAAGGAUCAAAGUAGGAAAGUAGUUACCUCCCUCUAUUUUUAUUUUAGCUGUUUGGUUCCUUUAUGAUGGGACUAUAAUUAAAAUCCCCUGGCAAAAUAAAGACUUGUGCCCUAGCCUGGUCAAUUAGCAGUAUUCACUUUUCCUGGGUAGUAUAAGUGGCUGGUCACAAAGUGGUUUAAAUCCUAAAUGGUACCUCCUGAGUCCAUCCCUUUUUCCUUCUUUUUUUUUUAAAAGGGUUCUUUAGCAAGAUGUCGGGGGUUGGGGGGGCAAUGGGCUGGUGAGGCACCGCAGGUAGCUUAGCAAAUCUUGCCGCUGCCAGGGCGGCAGCAGCUGGGGUGGGAAGAGGGAGAGCAGCUGUGACUGGGUUAUUAGUCAUUCCAUGAAGAAAUUGAUUUGAUAAAUAAUAAAGCAGUGAUAUUAGCAACACAUGCUUGCAGGUCAGAUGACUCUGAUGAAAGCCCCCAGUUAAGUGUGUGUAAUGGUUUGACAAUAUAUAUGCCUUCUAAAAACAUCCUAUUUUAAAAAGGAAAUUGGACUGUUCGUGCAAUUCUUAGCGAAUAUGCCAAGAUCAUUACCAGAGGGAGCUUGGACAUCUAAAGAAUGAUCUUUCUAUUUCAUUUGGCCUCUCCCCUCCCCCUUUCAGACGAUGCUUAAACUUACUUUGUUUCCGUGUCCUUGCCUUUUCAUUUCGUUAACUGUUUUGAUUUGUAAAAUGCUAUGCCUCACAGUACACUCCUUUCUGAUGAUUUACUGUGCCGUUCUUAUCUGUCCCCUUAAAUCCUUGAUAAGAGCAUUUUAAAAAUGAAAUUGCUACCUGGCACUAUUAUAAAAUCUUGGCUGGCAGCCAGGGGAAAAACAAGAGUUGGGGGGAGAAAAAGGAGACGAAGUUUAGAGAAAGGAAACAUUUUUAAAGGAACCAUGGGGUGCUUUUUUCCCCUGAUUUCUGGAAGCUUUUUUUUUUUUUCUCCCUAACUAGAGCAUUAAUAUAGCCUUGUCCGUGUCCCUCACUAUUGCAUGUGAGUCAUGUGAAGACAGCAGUGAGAGGGUUCAUUGGGCCAAGGGUCAUCUGCCGUGAAGAUGAAACUCAGGCAUACCUGUGCUGUGGAUUGAAACUGGAUAGAUGGAUGGAUGAAUGGAUGGCAUUUAAGCACCUCUAUAUUUAUACCCCGCAACGCAUGCUUUUCCUAACUCCUACAUCCCUCUUCUGUUCCCUACACUACUCUGCUUAAAUAAGACAAGUCGAAGCAGGAUCUCCUCCAAUUGCAGAGCUGCUGUAGCUGACUUGCCUCGUGUAAGAUGGGACCGUGUGAUAAAAAUUCUGUGUUGGUGUGGCUGCCUUGCGUGUCUGGAGAUCUCCAUUUAGCCACGGAAGGCAUCAGUGAUGGAAAUCACAGUGCCCACCGGCUUACCUGGCUUGGACAUUAUUCUCAGUCUUCCGAGUGUCACGUGUGAGGACCUGCCAGUCACCGCCUAGAUUUUUGGAGCAGGGAGGAUAUGGCCACAGAGGGGAUGCAUUAUCAUCGGCCCAUCAGGGCCCCUGCGGUCCAGGUGCAGCUGCCGAGCACCGAGCACCUAGGCCACAGUUGGUGGGAGGCCCCUGUGUGUAGCCGGCGACGCUGGAACCAUUAUGCCCCGUCGAUUGCACCCCUCGUGAAAAUAUAAUCCGCCACCAAAAUGACUGCUUUUGGAAACUGUCUUGUCGCUUUUGAGUCGAGACCCGAGACAACCAGACAAGGUUGGGUGGUAACGAAUAAAGAAACAUUACUUUCUGAACACAAUCUUCUGUUACCAGUCACUUUUCAACAGGCAUUCAAUCAAAAUGCUAAUAGCGGCAGCAACCAGGGAACGCGGUUAUUGUAAUACUAAUUGAUUGGUUGGAGGGUGGGUUUUGAUAAGUGCGGCUGAAGAUUUUGGAAAUAUGAUUCUCUUUAAUUACAGCGACACUAAUAAAAACGAACAAGUGAUUUAA